GGACCACCGUCCCCCCAGCUCCCAGCUCGGACACAAUGAGCUGCGGGGGGCUGCCCGAACGCGAGCAGCCAACCUGUGCGGGGUCAGUCCUUAUCUACUAUACACUGCCUUAAAUUACAGGCAUGCCUCUGUGCGUCUCCGCCUUCUGAAAGUCUCCGGAGUCUCAGAAAUACUUAAAACCUCGCCUUUAUCUCGGAGCCACCAUUGCUAAGGCAGUGGGACAUGUUCUGGACGCUGCGGAAUUUGCAUGAGCUCUCGCAAAAAGACCGAGUUUGAUGCAAUGCAUACCCCAUUUUUUUAAAAUAGCCUCUCUCAUCACUUUUAUUUCUUCAGAAUGCUCACAAGUUGUGAAUAAAAGUGUUUGCAUUAUCUCUGCAGAUGCUUCAGGAAGCCACGAUGAACUCAUUAUUUUAUUGUGAAACUAAAUCCAUAAAGCAGUCAUGAUGAGUAACUCGGGAACUUGUCGUAAUUGGGCAGUAACGCACAGUUUUAUCAUCUGGAGGAUUCUAGUGGGCUCAAUGUGGUUGCCAAUUCUGAACGAUUUAAUUGUGAACUUUACAACAUUUAGUGCCCUUCUUAAAGCUGUAGCUCCUGGACUCAUACAAUUAUGCAAGAAACUCAGGGGUUUUGUUUUCUUUUUAAUGAAGUUUCUAGCCUGUGGAUUUGUGGAUGUGACCUUAAAGACACAAACCUUAAAGGAACAGAAAGGAAAAGGUAUGAUACUGAACAGCAGGUCUGAUGGAGUACUAAAGAAAAGGAAAACACAGAAAAUGUAUCAGGGUGCUUGUUAAAUAGUUACCGAUAGGUACACAGUUCAUGGAAUAACAGCUUUUGAACAGAUCAAGUAAUCCUGGGACAAGGUCUAUUACUGUCAGAUCUGCUUGUAGUUUACUGUGAUUUCUCCUGGGGCUGGGGCACUGUCCAGCCACCUCCCGUCUCACCCCUCCAGUCUUGAGUCCGUAACCAAUUUUUAAACCCUCUGAAAAUCCCAGCCCCGAACCUCUGAUUUUCCCCCCUCCAUGUAAACUUUUACUACCAGCACUUCAAGCUGUUGAGGCUGAGUGUUACAGCCAAGACAGACUGGGUUUUGAUUUUACCUUCAGAGUUUAUAAGCAAGAAGAAACUCUGAAAACUAUGAGAACAGAGUUGCUUUUUUCCUUCAGAU